GGUUCUCUCCGAAAUAGCUUUAGGGCUAGCCUCAAGUGAUGAUUAUUGGAGGUAGAGCACUGUUUGGACGAGGGGCCCCUCUCGGGUUACCGAAUUCAGACAAACUCCGAAUGCCAAUUAAUUUAACUUGGGAGUCAGAACAUGGGUGAUAAGGUCCGUGUUCGAAAGGGAAACAGCCCAGACCACCAGCUAAGGUCCCAAAAUAUAUGUUAAGUGGAAAAGGAUGUGGCGUUGCCCAGACAACUAGGAUGUUGGCUUAGAAGCAGCCAUCAUUUAAAGAGUGCGUAAUAGCUCACUAGUCGAGUGACACUGCGCCGAAAAUGUACCGGGGCUAAACAUAUUACCGAAGCUGUGGAUUGUCCUUUGGACAAUGGUAGGAGAGCGUUCUAAGGGCGUUGAAGCAUGAUCGUAAGGACAUGUGGAGCGCUUAGAAGUGAGAAUGCCGGUGUGAGUAGCGAAAGACGGGUGAGAAUCCCGUCCACCGAUUGACUAAGGUUUCCAGAGGAAGGCUCGUCCGCUCUGGGUUAGUCGGGUCCUAAGCUGAGGCCGACAGGCGUAGGCGAUGGAUAACAGGUUGAUAUUCCUGUACCACCUAUAAUCGUUUUAAUCGAUGGGGGGACGCAGUAGGAUAGGCGAAGCGUGCGAUUGGAUUGCACGUCUAAGCAGUAAGGCUGAG
rnacentral:rRNA from 1 species